rnacentral:rRNA from 1 species
AGCUUCAAUAGCGUAUAUUAAAGUUGUUGCAGUUAAAAAGCUCGCAGUUAAACUUGUGGCCUAGAUGGCUCAGAUUGACGCUUAUGCGUGAGUACCUGAGCCAUCCGACCAUCCUUAGGUGGAACCUGUGUGGCAUUAAGUUGUCGUGUAGAGGAUGCCAAUCUUUUACUGUGAAAAAAUUAGAGCGUUCAAAGCAGGCUUAUGCCUUUGAAUAAAUUAGCAUGGAAUAAUGAUAUAGGACUUUGGUACUAUUUUGUUGGUUUGUGCACUAAAGUAAUGAUUAAUAGGGACAGUUGGGGAUAUUAGUAUUUUUAGGGUAGAGGUGAAAUUCUUGGAUCCUUUAAAGACUAACUACUGCGAAAGCAUUUAUCAAGGAUGUUUUCA